rnacentral:misc_RNA from 1 species
CACGCCGCCACUCUGCGCACACGCAUACUCGCACAAGCACGUACUAUCGCUCGCUUGUUGCAAGCUCAUUUCCAUAGAGAAGGGUCCUCGUUCACACAAGCACGCCCAUAAAACCGCCCGCACAUAGUGGAGUAAGAGUGCCGUCUUCACCCGGGCUGUCGCGUGUUUAACGGUGCAGCAGUCCGACACACAUACGCGGCACACCUAAUCCAGCAGCCAGUCGAUCUCUCUAACAUAUUUUAUCUUCCGUCUUUUCUCCGAGAAAGGCACUCGGCUGCCGGUGUCGGUUCACCGUUCGGUUCCUGCAUUGACUAGUGACCGUGAGCUCCAUCUGACUAACUCCACGCGUGCCCGUCUUAUUGCACGUCUACCGAAUAAUCGCUCUCUUCACAGCACGAUGUCCGGCAUCAAGAUCGAGGAGGUCAUCUCGACCACCAAGAAGGAGCGGGUGGCAGCGCACAGCCAUGUGAAGGGGCUCGGCCUUAACCCGGACGGGACGACGAAGCACAUCGCCGACGGUUUCGUUGGACAGGAGAAGGCGCGCGAGGCGGCCGGCAUUGCGGUGGAGCUGAUCCGCUCCAAGAAGAUGGCAGGUCGGGCGCUACUGUUUGCGGGGCCGCCGGGCACCGGCAAGACGGCGCUGGCCCUCGGUAUUGCCAAGGAGCUGGGGCCCAAGGUGCCCUUCUGCCCGAUGGUCGGCAGCGAGGUGUACAGCGCGGAGGUGAAGAAGACGGAGGUUCUCAUGGAGAACUUCCGCCGCGCCAUCGGGCUACGCAUCAAGGAGAACAAAGAGGUGUACGAGGGAGAGGUGACUGAGCUGCGCGCCGAGGAGACGGACAACCCGCUCGGCGGCUAUGGCAAGUCCAUCUCGCAUGUCAUCAUCACCCUCAAGUCGCAGAAGGGGUCCAAGUUGCUGAAGCUGGAUGCGGCCAUCUACGAGAGCCUGGAGAAGGAGAAGGUGUCCGUCGGUGACGUCAUCUACAUCGAGGCAAGCUCUGGCGCUGUGAAGCGGGUGGGCCGCAGCGAUGCGUACAUCGGUGACCACGACCUGGAGGCGGACGAGUACGUUCCGAUCCCGAAGGGAGACGUGCACAAGAAGAAAGAGGUGAUUCAGGACGUAACGCUGCACGAUCUCGACAUGGCAAACGCCAAGCCUAGUCAGGGACAGGAUGCCCUGUCAAUUGUCAGCAGCAUGAUGCGGCACAAAAAGACGGAGGUGACGGAGAAGCUGCGCCAGGAGAUCAACAAGGUUGUGAACAAAUACAUUGACCAGGGCGUCGCUGAGCUCGUGCCCGGCGUCCUCUUCAUCGAUGAAGUGCACAUGCUGGAUAUUGAGUGUUUCACCUACCUCAACAAGGCGCUGGAGUCGACCCUCGCACCGGUCGUCAUAUUCGCCACCAACCGCGGCAGUUGCCGCAUUCGCGGGACGGAGAUUCGCGCGCCGCACGGGAUGCCAACAGAUUUGCUAGAUCGUCUCCUUAUCAUUCGCACCAUGAACUACGACGUGAGCGAAAUAACGUCGAUCGUGGAGAUCCGUGCCCAUGUGGAGGGGGUGAAGAUAUCCGAGGCGGCUCUGACCAAGCUCGGCAUCAUCGGCGAGAGCACGUCGCUGCGCUUCGUUGCGCAACUGCUGACCCCAGCGCUCAUCAUUGCCGAGACGAACGGUCGCGAGAUGAUCGAGGAGGAAGAUGUGGAUCUGGUGGCUGAACUCUUCAAGGACGGCAAGGCAUCUGCCCGUCUGCUGCAGGACCACGCAGAGGAAUACGUAUACCAGUGAGGCAGCGUUCCCGAGAACAGUUGCAGAGGCGAUGCGACGUGGAGGUGGCCCAUCGCUGCACGCAUGCACCUCCUCCUCCUUCCCCGUUUUCCUCUGGGCCGUCUUCGCAGAGCAGUGUACCCUUCCGUAGUUUUUUUUUCUCGUUCCCUUUUUGAUGUGUGUAUGUGUGUGUGUGUGUGUGGUGAAACACAAGUGUGUGUGCCUCUGUGUGCGUGGGUGUGUCUCUCCUGACCUCACGCUCCUCCUCGCCUUGAAUGUGUCUGUCUCUCUUUGCACACGCGUGCGUUUGCCUGCCGUUGCUCACCAUUUUGCCUUCAGGGACACGGAUGGCGCACGCCCCGUAAAAACAGAGCAGCACGCGGGUGAUGAGGGAGUCGUUAGGAGGGUACGCUAUCCGAUCCCCUUCACUCGUGGGGGUGGGGGUAUUUUAGGGUUCCCUGUGUCUAACUAG